CUCUGCUUAGUCAUUAUCUGGGUCUCUGUGGUCUAGCCGGGGCAGGAGUGGAGGCGGCAUGUUCCUUGCUGCGGCCAAGCAAGGCUGCUGGGCCCCAGGUGCUGGCCUGCCAGGUGCUGUGGGGUCUGCCCCGUGCAUCCCCUGCAGAGGUGCUCCCCAGGCCCCACUGGACCACGGCUAAGGCUGAGCUUUAAUUCGUUUGUAUACAAGCAGAUUUCAGGUGUACUAACUGAACAAGAUGCAUGCUUUUAAAAAUCAAGAGUGGCAACAGAACAGCAAGGGGCCAUGCCCCAAGGCCCGACCUGGACACCUCCCAGUAAGUGACAGUAACGCAGGAGACUUAAGGGUAGGAAUUCAAUGGACACAUCCUUUAGCCAAGAUGUGGCAUUUCUGUCUGUAAUAUGAACACACCCUUAUAUGACAGGGGUUAGUAAACAUCCCUGAUUCCUCAGGUGGGGACAGUCACACGCUUGCAGGAGGAUUUUGCAAUGGGGCUGAGCCCAGUGAGGCAACGACCUUGGAAGCUGCUGUUAGUCACCAUCUGGGCAGGCAGCUACUACAAUGUACUGUGUUACCCCUCAGCUCUGGGGUCCUUUGAGCCCCGCAGGUGUGACCUUGCUGACCCUCUCUGGCCCCAGGCUGUGGGUGUUCCAGGCCGUCAGAGCUGCCGGGGGACCCUGGAGACAGAGCAGCUUUCCCAGCUGUGUCAUCAUAGAGACAAGGAAGCCGAGGCCACUGUCCACAGCUGGGGGCACAGUCAGCAAAGGGCAGCUAUUAUUCAGCUUGUUCAGUACCCACCUUGUCCCAUCUUUUCUGGAGCCAACGACACCUUUCUCUUUAAGGGAGGAUCCUCUGAGCCCCGCACUGGCCUCAACCGGAGAAAGUGCUCUGCUACCCUCUCCAAGGACAAUUGGUUCUUGGGAGGGUCUGCCCCACACGAGGCCAGCCAUGAACCUUCCUUGGGAAUUUCUGAAUUAGAACCAACAGCCAAGGCUCAUGCAUGCCUGGGGUGACCAAGGCCCGUUACAGACCCGGAGCCAGAGGACUGGCUGAUUUACAACAGCAACAAAACUGCAUCUGCACCAGCAGCUGCAACUGGAGUGACUCCCAGUUAAGUUUAUGACAAUUCUCAGUCCUGCUCCAAGAGCUGUGUCCCUUCUGUGCAGGCCGAGUAGGUGAGCUGUGUGGGGAUGUGGUGGGACUCCCACCCCUGCCUCCUCAAGUCUGUGAUGAGGGCCCUCAUCUCUGCAAUCCUCCAGGGAUAUGGUAUUAUGUUUAGUUCGCUAUUUUCAGAGGAAGACGCAGUUCCAGGGCCCUCUGCUUGGCCUUUCUGACCAUAACACCCUCGCUCUGUGGCCCAGAGAGCUAAUGUGAGGAUUCUGCCCGUUGCUGAAUAUGUCAAUUCAAGUAAUGAAUCCGGGAACUGGGGAAAUAGCCACAGGGUGGACCCAGUGGGCCCCGCUAUGCAUCAAACCUGAGCCGAAACUCUGCUGACCCCCAAGGCCACACCCCGACUGUGGACCAGUGACAUCUGGGAUUUCCAGGAGUUGGGGUCCGUUGAGAGCCAGCGUCCAGUAAUGCUUGGAGAGUCUGAUCAGUUCCCUUCCACAGUGGAGACAGCAGCCACAGCGUCUUCAGGGAAGGCUGGGAGGAAGAUGAAGCCUCUGUGGUUUCACCAGGUGGCAGCGUGGUGAAUGCUUCCUCCAGGGCUCUGGGUCUGUGACCCGGCUGAAGUCUGAGAAUUGAGAUGCUGUGACUUUCUAUUGUGGUGACACGAGUCGGACUUUCACCUGUCAGGCUACAGCGUGGAGCACGAGUCAGACUUCCGCCCCGUCGGGCCCGCGGUGGGGAGCGCGAGUCGGACUUCCGCCCCGUCGGGCCCCCGCCCCGUCGGGCCCGCAGCGCGGAGCGCGAGUCGGACUUCCGCCCCGUCGGGUACGCGGCGGGGGGCGCGAGUCGGACUUCCGCCCCGUCAGGCCCGUGAGGCGGGGAGCGCUAGUCAGACUUCCGCCCGUCAGGCCCGCGACCUGGGGCACGAGUCGGACUUCCGCUCCUCAGGCCUAGGGCGUGGGGCACGAGUCGGACUUCCGCUCGUCAGGCCUAUGGCGUGGACCUGUGGCCAAUACAUUGGCCAAAAUGUUCCUGUUAAAACAGGUGGGGGAAUGCCAGCUUUCUGCUGCGAACAUCCAGGAACUUCUCCGUGCCUCGAAGUGGCGUGCAAGGCCCCGCCGGCCCUGCCCCAUUCCCUCUCAACUCCAUCUUCCACAGCUCAUGGCUCUCACUCACCUCCCUGCUCCUGGAAUGAUCCAGGUGUGCUCCCACUUCAGGCUUCCCUGCUUGGCUGCUCUCCCAGGCCCAGCUCGACUGGCCCUCGCCUGUCUCAGUGUCUGUGCAGGUGACAACCUCUUGGGACGCCUUUCCCGGCCAUACUUUGAACUUGCUUCCUGCUUUCACAUUCUCUACACCUUUUCUGCUUUACUUUUCUUCAAAGCCCUUAGCAUUGCCUUGCACACCACAUGUUUUAUUUAGUUGUUUAUUGCCUGUCUCCUCCCUCUAAAAUUUUAGUCUCCAUUGUGGAGGACAUUUCCUGGCACACCCUCAUGAUUUUUGUGUUAUGAUUGAAUGAAUGACGUCAGCAAUGCCGUUCUUUCCCUCAGUUACUUUGUUUUGAGCUUGUGGCAAUCUAUAGAAGUUAGUUAAUGGGCCUUACAAUCUUGACUUGGAGAAAAGGAUGCACAAGGUGUCAUAUGUCAACACAGCCAAACGCCAACACGGCCUCCUCCUUCCCCAGGUUACCAGGAAGAAGUCAGAGGACCCUGCUGCUCCUUGACUCACGUGCUUCCUUGGGAGCUUGAGAAGCUGCUCCCCCUGGUGCUGCCGCGGGUGCUGCUUACCGGGAAACCCGCGGCAUCCGAGAAGCUCCACUGUGCUGGGUCUGUCCUGGGUUCUCCCUGCAGGUCAGAUCCAUGGUAAGAAAUGCUGGUGGGCACUGCAGUCUGGCAGGAGCUCACUGUGGGGAAGGAGAGGCUGGGCUGGAUCCCAAGGCUGAGCUGUCAGGCUCUGCAGCCCUCCCGGUGCUCAGUUAUCAGGCUCACUACCUCUCAAAGGCCUCUCUUCUCUACGUGGACGUUUGUCUGUCACAGCCGCAAGAUUCUGACAAUAACUUUGCUCUCCAAAUUCCUAAAAUAAUUGGUUGCUCCAGUUUAGCCAGCUAAGACUUCCUUGGAUAAUGACAUAACCUAGAAAGAUAUUUAACAAAUUCGUUUAAACUGGAAAUUAUUGACUCUACAGUUGAGUCAGAAAAACCCAUUCAAUACACAUUCGCAAUAUUCAGCAGCAGCUCAAUACACAUUGGCAAUAUUCAACAGCAGCGCUGGGUCCUGAGGCUCCAGGGCAGUGCAGGAGCAGGGAUUAGAGGUCUGAGCAGUUUCAUGGCACUUCUCAGGGGAAUACACGGGUUCUGGGUUCUUCCAAGGAACCUCCCUCCGUGCCGGCCACCACCUGGUCCCUGCUGGGGAAAUAGUUGUCCAGGGAGCCCUCAACUGUAGGGAAAUUACUGACCCUCCCGAUGUCACCGCAUCUCCACUGGGUCUUCUUUUAUUCCUUCUUUCCCCUAGAAAACACCUUCUGACACACUCCUGCUCUGCCUGUCUGUCCCCUGCUGCAGCCAGACAGUGAGCACGAAAGAAGUCCAGUGUCUGGACUGUUUGCUGAUUUGCAGAACCUGUUCUCUCGCAGUAUCUGUUUUCCAAUGCAGAUUUUCAUGGUCCCCUAAAGAAACUUAAAAUUCCAUUCCCAGAAUGACUUCAUUUCCUGAUACCCAGCCCAAAUUCACCUGUGUUUGGAGCCAAUGUGGCAACACAGCCACUUGGGUGGGGUGAACAUCACAGCCCACAAUUCUGCACUUCAGAUUUGGGUUUAUCUUAAGACUUAGUGCAACUUUGCAUUUGGCAGAGGCCUUUCUCUUUUGUAGCCCUUGCCACCAACCUCAUCGUGUAAUUACUGUGAAAGUCUGCUUCAUGCCUGUCUGCUCAGCAGAUGAGAGACCUUGAGGCCUGGGAAGAUCCCGCCCUCCCUGGCUCUGUAUUCUGAGGCAGUGCAUUGCCUAGUGGAUGGUUAAUUUUAGGUGUCAACUUGACUAAGCUGAGGGAAACCCAGAGAGCUGAUACAACAUGCUUUGUAAGUAUGUCUGAGAGGGAGGAUCCAGAAGAGAUCAGUACUUGAAUCAAGGGACUGAGCAGGGAAAAUCCACGCUCCCCAAAGUGCUGAGGGCCCAGAUAGAAAAAAAGGCAGAGGAAGGGUCAAUUCUUUCCUUAUUCUGGAUCUGAGACGUCCAUCUUCUCCUGCCCCCAAACCUCAGAACUCCAGGUUCUCAGGCCUUCGGACUCUGGGACGUACACCAGGAACUUCCCCGGUUCUCCAGCUUGUAGACGGCAGCAGGACUUCUCAUCCUCUGUAACCACAGAAGCCAAGUCACAUGAAACCCCCCCUCACCCCUCUCUCUGUGUACAUCCUAUGGGUUCUGUUUCUAUGGAGAACUCUAAUACAACUGGCAAAGACUAGCGUUCAGCAAGCGUUUUAUUUCUGAAUGACUGAGAUGUUUGAGUGGCUUCCAAGCUGACAUACCUGUGUUUCCAUUAAAGCCAUUGUUUCGAAGGUCGAUGGCAACAAAAGGUUGAAACAUGGCAUAAUCCGGGGUUGUUGAUUUGAAUUGUACCAUGAUGUGUUUAAAUUUGUACUAUGAUAGGGAUUUGUUGCAAGAAGUUAGGAAUGCCGGCAUCUAAAAGCUGGAAAAGCGUAUUUUGUUGGGGAGGUCUGGAGCUCCCAUCUCACACGCAGGAGGGAAGACACAACUGGAAGCAAUCAAGCUGACGAACGAGAUGUUGUUCCUGCCAGACGCAGGUCCUUGCCUUGUGUGUGCCUAACCUCACUUCGUUCGACAGCAACACAGGAGGAGGAAAUCACCAUUAACCGUGCUCUUUUAUGUGCAGAAGCUGAGGCUUGGAAACUGAAAAUGACACAGCUGUGAACGGUCUUGCUGGCAUUGGAGCCAGGAGAGAAAAUGCCCUUGGUAAAA
rnacentral:lncRNA from 1 species